GGGCAUGGCUCAGUGGUAGGGCAUCUGCCUUGCAUGCAGAAGGUCCCAGGUUCAAUCCCCAGCACCUCCA